CUGUGAGGUAUUGCUUUAGUUUCUUCGAGUCGUCGUGACGAGUCAAGAGCAAGCAAAAACGAAGUUGAUUCUGGUUUUAUUUGGUGUGUUUCAGUCGCUUCUUUAAAGUUACAACAUGAAGUCAAAGCUAAUCUUGGUGUUGGCCGUUUUGCUUUUGUUAGGGGCUGUUUCUGUUCCUGCUGAGCCCUAUCCSAGACGACGUAGAUUCGGUAAAAAGCUCAACAAAAAAGAAAAUCAACCCGCCAAUCGUCAGCAGCUCUCUGACACUGCGCCCUUGGAUGACGACCAGAGAWUGCCUUACUAUACUGACUGAUAAAAUGAAAGUAAAUUUGCAUCGAGCAAAAAUUAAAUAAAGAACGUUAAAGGAUA